rnacentral:rRNA from 1 species
GAUGAAUGCUGGCGGCGUGCCUAACACAUGCAAGUCGAGCGGCAGCGCGAGUAGUUUACUACUUGGCGGCGAGCGGCGGACGGCUGAGUAACGCGUGGGAACGUGCCCCAAAGUGAGGAAUAGCUGCCCGAAAGGGUGGCUAAUGCCGCAUAUGAUCUUCGGAUUAAAGUCUUCGGACGCUUUGGGAGCGGCCCGCGUCGGAUUAGGUAGUUGGUGAGGUAAUGGCUCACCAAGCCGACGAUCCGUAGCUGGUCUGAGAGGAUGAUCAGCCAGACUGGUACUGAGACACGGCCCAGACUCCUACGGGAGGCAGCAGUGAGGAAUCUUCCACAAUGGGCGAAAGCCUGAUGGAGCAACGCCGCGUGAAGGAUGAAGGCCCUCGGGUUGUAAACUUCUUUUAUAAGUGAAGAAUAUGACGGUAACUUAUGAAUAAGCACCGGCUAACUACGUGCCAGCCGCCGCCGUAA